GUCCUCUGAUGACUUCGUGUUAGUGCCACCUGUCCAGGCCACUGAGAACCCAUGAUGGAACUGAGGAUCUGAGGAA
rnacentral:snoRNA from 1 species